rnacentral:rRNA from 1 species
GACGAACGCUGGCGGCGUGCUUAACACAUGCAAGUCGAACGGAAAGGCCCUGCUUUUGUGGGGUGCUCGAGUGGCGAACGGGUGAGUAACACGUGAGUAACCUGCCCUUGACUUUGGGAUAACUUCAGGAAACUGGGGCUAAUACCGGAUAGGAGCUCCUGCUGCAUGGUGGGGGUUGGAAAGUUUCGGCGGUUGGGGAUGGACUCGCGGCUUAUCAGCUUGUUGGUGGGGUAGUGGCUUACCAAGGCUUUGACGGGUAGCCGGCCUGAGAGGGUGACCGGCCACAUUGGGACUGAGAUACGGCCCAGACUCCUACGGGAGGCAGCAGUGGGGAAUAUUGCACAAUGGGCGGAAGCCUGAUGCAGCAACGCCGCGUGCGGGAUGACGGCCUUCGGGUUGUAAACCGCUUUCGCCUGUGACGAAGCGUGAGUGACGGUAAUGGGUAAAGAAGCACCGGCUAACUACGUGCCAGCAGCCGCGGUGAUACGUAGGGUGCGAGCGUUGUCCGGAUUUAUUGGGCGUAAAGGGCUCGUAGGUGGUUGAUCGCGUCGGAAGUGUAAUCUUGGGGCUUAACCCUGAGCGUGCUUUCGAUACGGGUUGACUUGAGGAAGGUAGGGGAGAAUGGAAUUCCUGGUGGAGCGGUGGAAUGCGCAGAUAUCAGGAGGAACACCAGUGGCGAAGGCGGUUCUUUGGGCCUUUCCUGACGCUGAGGAGCGAAAGCGUGGGGAGCGAACAGGCUUAGAUACCCUGGUAGUCCACGCUGUAAACGGUGGGUACUAGGUGUGGGGUCCAUUCCACGGGUUCCGUGCCGUAGCUAACGCUUUAAGUACCCCGCCUGGGGAGUACGGCCGCAAGGCUAAAACUCAAAGGAAUUGACGGGGCCCCGCACAAGCGGCGGAGCAUGCGGAUUAAUUCGAUGCAACGCGUAGAACCUUACCUGGGUUUGUCAUGGAUCGGGAGUGCUCAGAGAUGGGUGUGCCUCUUUUGGGGUCGGUUCACAGGUGGUGCAUGCCUGUCGUCAGCUCGUGUCGUGAGAUGUUGGGUUAAGUCCCGCAACGAGCGCAACCCUUGUUCACUGUUGCCAGCACGUUAUGGUGGGGACUCAGUGGAGACCGCCGGGGUCAACUCGGAGGAAGGUGGGGAUGACGUCAAGUCAUCAUGCCCCUUAUGUCCAGGGCUUCACGCAUGCUACAAUGGCUGGUACAGAGAGUGGCGAGCCUGUGAGGGUGAGCGAAUCUCGGAAAGCCGGUCUCAGUUCGGAUUAGGGUCUGCAACUCGACCUCAUGAAGUCGGAGUCGCUAGUAAUCGCAGAUCAGCAACGCUGCGGUGAAUACGUUCCCGGG